UCAUAUUCGGAAUAAUAGUGAAAUAUUGGUGUGCAUGUAAACAUACUCAUUGUAAUCAUUGAGAA